GACGAACGCUGGCGGCGUGCUUAACACAUGCAAGUCGAACGGUGAAGCGCCUUCCUUUUUGGUGGGUGUGGAUGAGUGGCGAACGGGUGAGUAACACGUGAGUAACCUGCCCCCUUCUUCUGGAUAACCGCAUGAAAGUGUGGCUAAUACGGGAUAUUCUGGGUCUGUCGCAUGAUGGGUCUGGGAAAGAUAUUGUUUCGGUGGGGGAUGGGCUCGCGGCCUAUCAGCUUGUUGGUGGGGUGAUGGCCUACCAGGGCGGUGACGGGUAGCCGGCCUGAGAGGUUGGACGGUCACACUGGGACUGAGACACGGCCCAGACUCCUACGGGAGGCAGCAGUGGGGAAUAUUGCACAAUGGGCGCAAGCCUGAUGCAGCGACGCCGCGUGAGGGAUGGAGGCCUUCGGUUUGUGAACCUCUUUCGCCAGUGAAGCAGGCCUGCCUCGUUUGUGGGUGGGUUGACGGUAGCUGGAUAAGAAGCGCCGGCUAACUACGUG
rnacentral:rRNA from 1 species